rnacentral:rRNA from 1 species
AAUCAACGCUGGCGGCGUGCCUCAGACAUGCAAGUCGAACGAGAAGGCUCCUUCGGGAGCCGGACAGUGGCGCACGGGUGAGUAACACGUGGGUAAUUUACCUUCGGGUGGGGAACAACAGCCGGAAACGGCUGCUAAUACCGCAUAAUGCAGCGGCACCUAAUGGUGACAGUUGUUAAAGCGGGGGGAUCGCAAGACCUCGCGCCUGAAGAGAAGCCUGCGGCGGAUUAGGAGUUGGUGGGGUAAUGGCUCACCAAGCCUGCGAUCUGUAGCCGGCCUGAGAGGGCGGUCGGGCCACACUGACACUGAACAACGGGUCAGACUCCUACCGGGAGGCAGCAGUCGGGAAUUUUGGGCAAUGGGCGAAAGACCUGACCCAGCAACGCCGCGUGAAGGAUGAAGUUUU